rnacentral:tRNA from 1 species
GACCUUGGCUCAGUGGCAGAGCAUCUGCUUGGCAUGCAGAAGGCCCCACGUUCAAUUCCCAGCAUCUCCA